GCCCCUAUAGCUCAAGGGCAGAGCGGAAUACUGUUAAUAUUUUGAUAGAUGUUCGAAUCAUCUUAGGGGCU
rnacentral:tRNA from 1 species